UGCCUGUCCCGUUACAACAAGUUUGCCCCAACUCAUUGUUACAUUGACAACUGCGUCUCUAAACGUCUCUCAGCUAGUCUCGUAGCUAGCUCGCGAAUCAAGGGCAAAAUUAUGAAUUCUUUUGCAGAAAGCUCAAGAGAUCUUUCAGAGAAAUUUACCUUAGAAAUCUCUCAUAGCUUGGCCAAUCUGGGAAUGGAUUAUCCAGCUCCGAUGGUUUCUUAUGCAACGAUCCAAUAAUAAAUUUCGACGGGUAGUCCAUUUUUUGGGACUUCUCCGCGUGAGACGUGAAUGCGAGUCCUCCUUUUAUCCUAUGUAUACCCUUACUGCAAAUGAUUGCCACAGGAUGAAGAGGAGGAAGAAUGAAAAAGGAGGAGAAGAAUGAAAAAAACCAAUAGAAACUUCAAGUUCAAUGCCACCUUGCAGUUGUGUCUCCGUAGAACACACGUAUGAUAUGACACUGAAAAAGAAACGCUGGCCGUGGAAGCCGUGCUUACGUACCGAAUUCAACAUCCCUCCCCCCGGCAUUUGUAUAAUACUACUCGGAAGAAAAUCAUAAUGCAAGAAGGUGAUUUACCAGUGCUCUCUUCGUUUCUGUCCUAGAUGUUAAAUAUUCAUUUUCGUCUCC